rnacentral:sRNA from 1 species
GCUGUGCAUGGUAGUGCAUGCCUGUAGUCCCAGCUACUUGGGAGGCUGAGGUAGGAGAAUCGCUUGAACCCAGGAGGCUGAGGUUGCAGUGAGCCGAGAUUACGCCACUGCACUCCAGCCUGGGUGACAGAGCGAGACUCUGUCUCAA